CAAAGUUUUACUAAAUUUUAAAUUGCCAUGUAAGUUAUUAAAUUCAAAUUAAACAUUUUGCAUGAAGGAAGAUGCUCUUUGCAGCACUACAAAAUGAGUCAUUUACGGCGGAUAGAAAACGUCGUAUAAGGCACCAACACCGUCGGUAAAACCCAUAUGUGACGGCAUUGCGAUGGAACUUCAUGUCGCAACAACUUCAGAAACUCACAGAGAAAAGCCUCUUCCACUUUUUCUUGUAAUAGAUAUACAAAUUGAGAACAAGCAUAACCUAAAACUUGGAAGCUUAUAAAACCUAAAUGUUUAGAGAAUUAAUUACAAUUACAAUAGUACACAGAAAUAACCAGCAACAGUAGUGUAAAUUAACCCAGCACCAUGAUCACUUACAAGUUGAGAAACUCACAACCCACAGAAUUAGCCACAUUAAUUAUGUCCGGCCUCCACCGAACUAUUCUUCGGGGACUGAAAAGUCCCCGGAUAAACCUUCUUGUUCCUCCCAUGUGCAGAGACUUUGGUGUCUUGUACAGUACUGCUCUGUCCUGAUCUCCCUCCCAUGUGCUCUAGCUUCUUCUUCAUUUCCUCCUUCUGUCGCUUCUGCAUCACAUAAACUGUUGCAUAAGUUGCUCCAAUGGAAGACAUGGUUGGAAAACGAGAAACCAAUAACUUAAAAAAUUGAUUGUGGGUUGGAUUGGAUUGGUUUGGUGGUUUUAGAGGCUCCAAAAUUAUGAGUCUAUUUAUAGGAGGAGGAGAAUAUGCGGUGGCCUGUUGAGCAAGGCAUCAUCACUAAUAUGUUUGUGCCUCAAACAGAGAGAGCUGACUGGUUUUGGUAUUAAUUUAAGAACCAGUAAUUAAACU
rnacentral:lncRNA from 1 species